ensembl:lncRNA novel transcript, antisense to DNM3
UUGUUCUGUAAGCUUUGUUUAACUUUUUGUUGAAAUAUCCAGAAAUAUACAUCACAUAAUUUCCACAAACUGAAUGUUCCCAUGUAACCCACAUCCAGAUCAAGAAACAGAACAUUACCAGCACCUGGAAUGACACUCCCCUUGUGCCCUCUUCUAACAAUGCUUUUUAAUUAACCAUGCCAACACAGUUUCUGCAAAGAAGUCAUUUCUGAAGCACGUAUAGAGGAGUAAAGCAAGAUCAGCCUGUAAUUUCUAGGUCUAUUGGCCAGAAGCAAACUUGGUUUGUGUGCAAGGGGCCUCCUCUAAAAAUCAGCUGUGGCCCGGACCUGAUGGUGCUGGACUUAUUACUGCUGCUGCUCUCCUGUUGUUCAGAGGAAGAGUUCAGUGGAAGAAACAGUGUGUGGAAAGAGAAGAAAGAACACUGGACUUAGAAGUUUGCAAACCAACUUCUUGAGAUUCAGAUUUUCUUCCUCCAAGUAGCUCUUUGACCUGGGCAACUUAGUUCACCUUUCCAGUCCUUAGUUUCCUUCAUCUACAAAAAAAAGAUGUUUGACUACACGACGAUCUCUAAGGUUUGUUCCAGUGCUAAAAGACCAUGAUUUCACACCAAAAGACUCAGAACUUCAAAACUCCUGACAAUUGGCUCAUAUGAAUCAUUGUCAGGAAGAAAUCUUCCAGCAGCAGUGACUAGCCUCAGUGUCUAGCUGAGGUGUGAUUGAUACCAGGGACUGAGCAACUUUCCAGCUUCUAGCAAGAAUAUGGAAACUGCUACAAAAUCAAGAAUUAGAAAUCUCAUAAUCGACAUCCUUUCUGUUCUUUCUUUGCUAUGAUUGCAAUUGCAAUAUAUUCCCUGUAUAUCCUUUUUUUCUCAUUUAUCAGACUUUUUGUUUGACAUUACAACAAGCCUGGUGACAGCUCUGCUACAAUAUUUCUAUUAGGUGAAUAAAAACCAAAUUACUGCCUAUUAGCUACAAAUUCAUUCCUUUGCUAAAUACAACAAAUAGAUAACAUUAAAGAGCUUGAACAAUUUGAUCUUGAUUAUGUAAAAGCAUUACAACAAACCCUCCAACCCUCCUUCAUCCUCAUAAAUGUCAUUCUCAUAAGGCAGACAGACACACUCACAAAACUCCAGGUUCCAUUUUCUUUUCAAUUUCCACCUGUUCCUUGAAAAUCCAUUUCUUCACAUUUAUUCUCUGAUCUUAUUUCAGUUUCUGCAGCAGGAAAACUGUGCAGAAACUCAAGUUUUAGUAAUCAGUGUACAAUUUUGUAUGUGUAGUCUUCAAACAUCCAGAGUUUUUCCUUUCGCUGUUCAUCUAACCCAUCAAUGUAAAAAAAUUGUUUUAAACUAGACAUUAUGUAUCAGAUUCAGACCGGUAACUUUCUCCAGUCACAUUCAGUCCACAUGAGAUACUUAAGGAUGUAAUAAAACAUAAGAAAAGCAUAUUCUAGCUGCUUGCUAUUUUGAAAAGGGGAAAAAAAUCCUUUCAGACAGUAAUCAAUUUCAUUGUGGAGGAGAUUUCUGCAAAAUGCAUUAAGAAGUUCACGCCUGUGGCAAUGGUCACUGCACAUAUUUUGGAAUGUCUCCCAGACUAUAAGACUUUUUCCAGACAUCCAGGAGAGACUUUAGCAUGACAGGGAUCCUGCGCUGGGCCUUAAAAAAUUGUAGAAGGAAAACUUUAGACGGUUCAGUUUCAGCUGGAUUUUGUUUCUUAGACAGCUGAGUUACCUAGGUUAUGGAAAAUACUAGUAAUUACGGAGUGAUGAUAAUCAGAAAAAUCUCGCUCUCUGUCUUCUUUUUCUGAAGCCUUAAUUAGUUAGUCAAGGUAUUUGUUAAGCAAUAAUGCUACUUUGCUUCCUAAAUAUCUUUAUAGAUAGGGUUGAUUCUAUCCUACCUGAGAUACUGAAAUCACCAAAAGGAAUUAUGAUAAUAUUUUUUAACUUUUGGAAACAAACUGUAAGAUAUAUUUCCGUUUACUCAACUGCCCUUUGGCUGCAAUAGCAAUCAUAAAUUUCUUAAAUUUGUCAGAAUUUUUGUUUUGAGGGAGGGAAGGAUGGCUGAAAUCGCUGGAUGUAAAAAAUGCCCUUUAUUUCCUUCUCUAUCAUGUUUAUCUCUAAACUCUUCCCUCACACUUGGCUUUUGCUAUCGCUAGGAAUGAAAUCUAAGUAUAGAAACCAACACAAUUUAUACCUUAAAGGACAUGCUGAUGUAUGUUGAAGCCUCGGAUUUUCCACAGACAUAUGUUAUCUGCUUUCUUCUGUCUCUCAAAGGCACAACUUUUCUUUUUGAACAUAUUUUGCC